UAUGCUACAGUAUGUGAGUACGUAAGUUUUUGGUGCUUGAGGAGGAGAGGGAGCGCUCUCCUAGUGUAU
rnacentral:tRNA from 1 species